rnacentral:rRNA from 1 species
GAGUAACACGUGGGUAACCUGCCCAUAAGACUGGGAUAACUCCGGGAAACCGGGGCUAAUACCGGAUAACAUUUUGAACUGCAUGGUUCGAAAUUGAAAGGCGGCUUCGGCUGUCACUUAUGGAUGGACCCGCGUCGCAUUAGCUAGUUGGUGAGGUAACGGCUCACCAAGGCAACGAUGCGUAGCCGACCUGAGAGGGUGAUCGGCCACACUGGGACUGAGACACGGCCCAGACUCCUACGGGAGGCAGCAGUAGGGAAUCUUCCGCAAUGGACGAAAGUCUGACGGAGCAACGCCGCGUGAGUGAUGAAGGCUUUCGGGUCGUAAAACUCUGUUGUUAGGGAAGAACAAGUGCUAGUUGAAUAAGCUGGCACCUUGACGGUACCUAACCAGAAAGCCACGGCUAACUACGUGCCAGCAGCCGCGGUAAUACGUAGGUGGCAAGCGUUAUCCGGAAUUAUUGGGCGUAAAGCGCGCGCAGGUGGUUUCUUAAGUCUGAUGUGAAAGCCCACGGCUCAACCGUGGAGGGUCAUUGGAAACUGGGAGACUUGAGUGCAGAAGAGGAAAGUGGAAUUCCAUGUGUAGCGGUGAAAUGCGUAGAGAUAUGGAGGAACACCAGUGGCGAAGGCGACUUUCUGGUCUGUAACUGACACUGAGGCGCGAAAGC